rnacentral:lncRNA from 1 species
AGGGUUUUGAAAAUAAGUUCUAAAAAAAUCACUCAAUCAUAUUGCCAAUUCAUCCUCAGAGACAUGAAUUUUAACUUCUGCUCCUUGUUUUGAGUCUUGUAGGUUUAUUUUUUCAAUAAUGUCCUCUAAUAAUAAGUACACUUUUGUACAUGGAAGGAGAUUCUGCCAUUGGCAAAAAUCAAGCAUCCUGAUGGUUUUCUAUGGAUUGUUAGUGGCAACAGGAGCUCUUCUUCCUUUACCACUCAGGAAACUCUUAAACGUACAAUGCUUUGAAAAGCACAGCUGUUCCCCUUGGGAGUGGAUCUUGGUUUCAACACAUCUCUAAGAGUACAAGCAUGAAUGAGAGAAAACAAAUGCCAUCAUCAACUUAUUUCACACUGAAACUGAAGACACCUAAAGGAAACAGGAAAGUGGAGAGAGUGAAUCCAACAGGACCACCUAACAAAAAUUCAGGUCUCUAUAGGGACCCCAAUGGAAGGGGUUGCACUUCUACUUGGGAUAGACCUGGCCCUAAGUCUUCUGCCAGAUCUGGUCUUCUGGCAAAACAGAAGAACUUAUAUCUCUUUCUGAUGGAAGUGCUUCAUCAUUGCCACCAGGCUUUCCAGUAUGGUUGUCCCUCAUCUUAGAACGAAGAGAAGCCCAUACUACCAUGAAGGUAUCACAUGGACCUUGAAGGCUUGUGGAAAGCAAGAAAUAAACUUGUUGGGGUAAGCCA